GCCCUGCCCUGCCCUGCCCGGCCCGGCCCUGCCCGCAGCGCCUCAGGGGGAACGCACCAACUGUGCAGCUCCAGGGCCGGCCCAAGCCCCUCCGCGAGCGCGGAAGCAACGCCACCCUACCAUAGGCGACCCCCGCCCCGGGAUGCUUCCCCCGAGGCGACUGCUCGCCUGCAGCUGCAGGCAGCUCUAAGCACUAGCAGCAAAAGGUAUUCAAUACAAUUUCAUGCUGGUGUCCUGAAACCAGGCUAUUUCAAAACAUAAGAAGGAAGCUGUGAGGGGCUGGAAGGAAGAUGCUGCCUUGCAAGAACCCAUCUGAACAGUGUCAUGUGCUGCACAAAGAGGUCCUGCUGCAGAUUUCUGCUCUCACCAACACCAGCAGUCAAGGGCUCCUGCAGUCUCACAGGAUGUUCCCUGAGCUUUGCCAAAUGACUGAACAUCCCACAGUGACCUGGACAUGGAAAAUUUCGUCCUCUUGUAGAAAAAUCCUAUUGAUGUUCUUCAGAUUUAGUACAGUACCAAGAUCCCCUGUCUGUUGGCCUAACAAGCAGAUUUAAUUCAGCUCUCCAAGCAGGGAGCCCUGCAGAAAAAAAAAUGUCCUUCAG
rnacentral:lncRNA from 1 species